UCAUCGCUGAUCCUAAUGCUGUACGGGGAAAUUGGCAAAAUGGAAGAGUUAUCCGAGUAUUCCCAGGAGAUGACGGAUUAAUCAGAAAUGUGGAAGUGAAAACAGCAACUGGAAAUUAUAGACGCCCAAUUACGAAGCUCUGUGUUAUUUAUCCUGUCGAAGGCUUUAAAAAAUUAAAUGGGAUUCUCCCAUUGUCCGGGGGUAUGUUGCGUUUGAAAGCGAGAGCCGCUAGAGGACUGGGGCGAAUGGCGGCCAGCACGAAGUGAAAUUAAAGUAAAGAAACAAAUUAUUUAGAUUUUAUUGUUGAAGAAAGGUUAGAAACGAUGGACGUAGUCGGACAAAUGUACGUUUACCUAAUUUUCGCCAUUUUGAACUUUAUUUCUUAGAUCUAUAUCGUAAACAUUGUCAUAUUUGUAUUUUGUA